AUAGGGGAAAUGCUGCCGAAUUUUCUGUAAAAUUUAAUGAAUAGUUGGAAUGAAUGGCUUAAGUGCCCUUAGCUAAUGUUUGGUAUUCGUUGGCGUAUUUGUAGACCUUGGGGAGCCCGAGGCGUAGAUUUGGAUUAGCUUUAGAUUGAUUCGCUUGGAGUGCGUACGAGGUACAGACGCACAGCCUGGUGAUCCACCUGUUUAGGACACCCUUUCUACUAUUCGGAGUGCUCCUCUCUUUCCGGAGCUUAUACUUUUGUGAUGCCUCCGAAAAAGGCGACGGCCGCCCAGAAGAAAAAGGGCGUAGUAGGAGAGACCAGCCGGGCUCAGAAGGGUACUCGGACCCUUGCUCAGAUGAUGCGUGAUAUUACGUCCCGGCCAGCCGACUCUGCUACGUCUUCAUCGUCAGAGGAGUCUGGAGCAGCUUCACCAUUAGCUCAAGGGGCUUCAGCUCCCGCGCCUCCAGCUCCUCAGCAAGGGGCGGAGGACAGGACACUGAGAGAGGCUGUGCAGUUAUUGACCACUCUGGUAGCG